AUUGAACGCUGGCGGCAUGCCUUACACAUGCAAGUCGAACGGUAACAGGUUAAGCUGACGAGUGGCGAACGGGUGAGUAAUAUAUCGGAACGUGCCCAGUCGUGGGGGAUAACGUAGCGAAAGCUACGCUAAUACCGCAUACGAUCUACGGAUGAAAACGGGGGAUCGCAAGACCUCGCGCGAUUGGAGCGGCCGAUAGCGGGUGAGGUUGUUGGUGAGGUAAAAGCUCACCCAGCCUGCGAUCUGUAGCUGGUCUGAAGGGACGACCAGCCACACGGGAACUGAGCCACGGUCCAGACUCCUACGGUAGGCAGCAGUGGGGAAUUUUGGAAAAUGGACGCAAGUCUGAUCCAGCAAUGCCGCGUGCAGGACGAAGGCCUUCGGGUUGUAAACUGCUUUUGUACGGAACGAAACGGUGAGCUCUAAUACAGUUUGCUAAUGACGGUACCGUAAGAAUAAGCACCGGCUAACUACGUGCCAGCAGCCGCCGUAA
rnacentral:rRNA from 1 species